rnacentral:lncRNA from 1 species
GUCAUUCUCUAGCUGUACGUACGGACUCAGAGUACUUAUGACAGCGUGUGUAAGACCUGCACAAUAUCAAGGCAGAUAAAUCCCAGAAUGGUAACCGAAGAUGGGACCAAAGUCUCACUCCCUAGGGAAGGAGCUACCGGCAACCAAUAGCCGCUAAAAGAGAGAAUCAUUAUUCUUAAAGGAGAGGCCCCUGCUACAAGAAGCAAGACUGACACCCAGUGUUCAAUAAACUUAAAGGUAGAAAAUAAGAAGGCCACCUGCCCUAAGGCGCUGGUGCGGAAGCCAGCUAGGCCACCCUGCCUCACAGUGCAGACAGUGGGCACCACUACAAUGAAUAAAUAUGUGGUGGAAAGACAAGAAAAAGAGAAAAACAGAGUGGUACGUGCAGAGAGAUGUGGAACUGGAGACACAACAGCCAUGGGGACCAGGCUGAUGUGAGUGACCUGCCCUGCUCCUGAGUUCAUGGUGAUGUCCACAUCUGGGCUGCCUCCAGGGGCCGUGUCUGAACCCUUGGUCUGUGUUGAUGUCUAGGUUGACACCGAAGGCCACUUGGAUGUCCAUGGUCAAGGGCUAUAUUGAUGUGAGAAGCCAAGGGCUGUGUCUGUGGUCUGUGCUGUCACCAGCCCGUGACCAUGCUCCCACUAACCAUGAAGAGCAAGGAAGCUCCUUUUGCUGAUGGAAGACAGAUAGUUGAAUAAAAGGGACAUGGAAGCUUCUGUGACUACCCCUACCCCCACCCCAACUCUGAGCCUCACCCUACCCCCAAAAGAGUAGCAGCCUGAACAGGAAGCCAUCAAAGAGAACACUUUAAAAAGUGUGAUUGGACCAGGCGUGGUGGCACACACCUUUAAUCCCAGCACUUGGGAGGCAGAGGCAGGCGGAUUUCUGAGUUCGAGGCCAGCCUGGUCUACAGAGUGAGUUCCAGGACAGCCAGAUCUACACAGAGAAACCCUGUCUCAAAAACAAACAAACAAACAAGAAAAAAAUGUGAUAGGGAUGUUGAAGUUAGCUCUCCACAAUCGAUGGCUUCUGGCAGGGGUGCAGGAGGGGGAGGUCUCAGCUCUAUUUAAGGGACAAGCCGCUGAGAGUUUAACCAUGCUCCAGAAGGAUAUGGAUAACUCUAAUUGGACUUGGUCUUUUAUUUCUCCUUUCUUUUCUUCUUUUUUGGGGGGAGGGAAGGUGAGGGGGGUUCCAUAAGAGUUGGGGGGCCAGCAUGGGAGGGCUUGGGUAUGAAUAUGAUAGGGGUGCAAGAUGUGAAAUUCCCAAAGAAUCAAUAAAAAUAUUGUUCUUUAAAAAUGGU